AGCUUCUUAGCGCAGUGGAAGCGCGCGGGGCUCAUACCAUUACGUAAUGGCUUGUCACCCCGAGGUCCUCGGAUCGAGACCGAGAGAAGCUA
rnacentral:tRNA from 1 species